rnacentral:misc_RNA from 1 species
AAAGUGCGAUAACUAGUGUGAAUUGCAUAUUCAGUGAAUCAUCGAGUCUUUGAACGCAACUUGCACUCUAUGGUUUUCCUUGGAGCAUGCCUGUUUGAGUAUCAUGAAAUCUUCAAAGUAAAUCUUUUGUUAACUCAAUUGGUUUCUACUUUGGUAUUGGAGGUCUUUGCAGCUUCACACCUGCUCCUCUUUGUUCAUUAGCUGGAUCUCAGUGUUAUGCUUGGUUCCACUCGGCGUGAUAAGUUAUCUAUCGCUGAGGACACUGUAAAAGGUGGCCAAGGUAAAUGCAGAUGAACCGCUUCUAAUAGUCCAUUGACUUGGACAAUACUUUUAUGAUCUGAUCUCAAAUCAGGUAGGACUACCCGCUGAACUUAAGC